rnacentral:rRNA from 1 species
UACAGAGGUCUCAACCGUUGUUCGGAUUCAUUGGGCGUAAAGGGUGCGUAGGCGGCGGGGUAAGUCAGGUGUGAAAUCCUGGAGCUCAACUCCAGAACUGCCUUCGAUACUGAGAGUCUCGAGUCCGGGAGAGGUGAGUGGAACUGCGAGUGUAGAGGUGAAAUUCGUAGAUAUUCGCAAGAACACCAGUGGCGAAGGCGGCUCACUGGCCCGAUACUGACGCUGAGGCACGAAAGCGUGGGGAGCAACAGGG